GAUAACCAGGCUUUUCUCCGUGAAAUUCAACAACUGAAGAAUAUGAAGAGCGGUCAUUGCUAAAAUAAUGAAAACUAAAUGAUUAUUCUUAAAUGGGUACAUGAUUCAAGCCUUCUCCCUUUAAUCUUAAACUGAAGAAUUUGAAGAGUAUGCAGUUAAAGCAAUAUACCAAAUUCAAAUUUGUCAGCUUGGAUUCUUCCACUAGCGGUUUGUAUUCCUCUGUGGAAUACACCACCUUUGGGGUAUUAUAAAUUGGAUACAGAUGAUGCAACAAUGGACAACCCAGGAAAUUUUAUAGUGGAGCAUCAGCAAGAUUUGAGGGCAAUACCAGAUAUUAACAAUCCAAAAAGCAAGUUGUGUCUUUGGAUAUUGGUGCAGAAUGUUCUCCACCGAACAAAUAAUUGCAGCAUAAAGUCAUUCAAAAUGUUAGCUUUUGUCCAUACUGUUAAGUGUGGAAGAGAUAAAACAUGAAACUAAUAUGGAAGUUACUAUUUCGUCUCUUUCUUCAGCCUCAAGCUCUAGCUCUCUCAAUUACGGUAAAUACUUAUUCAUAUCGGUAUUUACAUCAAACUAUGUAAAGUUAUUAUGGUUAAGUGAUUACAUGAGGUGAAACACAUGACAUGAAUUCAG